UUAGAUUUGUUUCCAAGCUUCACCAGGUCCACUCUGCUUCAAUCAGCUUUGCUGCAUGUGGUUCCAGGGUAAGGAGAGCUGCUUUCUCCAAACACUCCACCCACGGUCCUGGAAUUCAUCACAGCAACCAGACUUGGAUCCCAUGUCAGGCUGUGAGCCACCCGUGGUGUCUGGGGAUGAAAUGUGCUGAUUCCCCAGGCCAAGCUCCCCCAGAAAGAAAAGAGGUGAUGCCAGCCCUUGAAAAAAGGAGAACAGACGCUAAGUGGGAGUUCAUCUUAUUUGUAAAUAGCAAGAGAUGGGAAACAACCCAAGUGGCCAUCAGUAGGGGAACAGUGAAAUAAAUCAUGACACAUCUCUGCAGCGGAGUGCCCAGUGCUCUAAGGAAGAAGGAGGCUGUGCUUGUGUUCCUGAAGGAAGAUCCCCGGGGGUAUUCUGAAGUGAAACAGCUAAGGUUCAGGAGCUCUACGGAGUAGUGUGUUGCUUUUUAUGUAAGAAAUAAAAAAUUAGAAUGUG